CGCGGUUAUUAGUGGCGAACGGGUGAGUAACACGUAAGCAACCUACCCUAAAGACGAGGAUAACCAUUGGAAACAGUGGCUAAGACUGGAUAGGAAGAUAAAAGGCAUCUUGUAUCUUUUAAAAGACCUAGUUAAUAGGUAUGCUUUAGGAGGGGCUUGCGCCAUAUUAGUUAGUUGGUAGGGUAAUGGCCUACCAAGACGAUGAUGUGUAGCUGGACUGAGAGGUUGAACAGCCACAUUGGGACUGAGACACGGCCCAAACUCCUACGGGAGGCAGCAGUAGGGAAUUUUCGGCAAUGGAGGAAACUCUGACCGAGCAACGCCGCGUGAAUGACGAAGUACUUCGGUAUGUAAAGUUCUUUUAUCGAGGAAGAAAAGCAAAUGGCGAACCAUUUGUUUGCCGGUACUUGAUGAAUAAGCCCCGGCUAAUUAUGUGCCAGCAGCCGCGGUAAGACAUAAGGGGCAAGUGUUAUCCGGAAUUAUUGGGCGUAAAGGGUGCGUAGGCGGUCUAGUAAGUCAGUGGUGUAAUGGCAACGCUUAACGUUGUCCGGCUAUUGAAACUGCUAAACUUGAGUUAGAUAGAGGCGAGUGGAAUUCCAUGUGUAGCGGUAAAAUGCGUAAAUAUAUGGAGGAACACCAGAGGCGUAGGCGGCUCGCUGGGUCUUAACUGACGCUGAGGCACGAAAGCGUGGGGAGCAAACAGGAUUAGAUACCCUGGUAGUCCACGCCGUAAACGAUGAGUACUAAGUGUCGGGUUAAACCGGUACUGAAGUUAACACAUUAAGUACUCCGCCUGAGUAGUACGUACGCAAGUAUGAAACUUAAAGGAAUUGACGGGACUCCGCACAAGCGGUGGAUCAUGUUGUUUAAUUCGAAGAUACCCGAAAAACCUUACCAGGUCUUGACAUGUUUUUGCAAAAUGAUAGUAAUAUCGUGGAGGUUACCAGAAACACAGGUGGUGCAUGGUUGUCGUCAGCUCGUGUCGUGAGAUGUUAGGUUAAGUCCUAAAACGAGCGAAACCCUUAUCGUUAGUUGCCAGCACGUUAUGGUGGGGACUUUAACGAGACUGCCAAUGAUAAAUUGGAGGAAGGUGAGGAUCACGUCAAAUCAGCAUGCCCCUUAUGACCUGGGCUACAAACGUGAUACAAUGGCUGUUACAAAGGGUAGCUGAAACGCAAGUUCUUGGCCAAUCCCCAAAAACAGUCCCAGUCCGGAUUGAAGUCUGCAACUCGACUUCAUGAAGUUGGAAUCGCUAGUAAUCGCGAAUCAGCAUGUCGCGGUGAAUACGUUCUCGGGGUUUGUACACACCGCCCGUCAAACCACGAAAGUUGGCAAUACCCCAAAACGGUAGCCUAACUCGUUUAUUCGAGAGGGCGCCGUCUAAGGUAGGGUCGAUGAUUGGGGUUAAGUCGUAACAAGGUAUCCCUACCGGAAGGUGGGGAUGGAUCACCUCCUU
rnacentral:rRNA from 1 species